rnacentral:rRNA from 1 species
AUUGAACGCUGGCGGCAGGCUUAACACAUGCAAGUCGAACGAUGAAGAUAUAGCUUGCUAUAUCGGAUUAGUGGCGGACGGGUGAGUAACACUUAGGAAUCUACCUUUUAGCGGGGGAUAGCUCGGGGAAACUCGAAUUAAUACCGCAUAAUUUCUACGGAAUAAAGAGGGCUUUUAGCUCUCACUAGAAGAUGAGCCUAAGUAAGAUUAGCUAGUUGGUGGGGUAAAAGCCUACCAAGGCGACGAUCUUUAGCUGGUCUGAGAGGAUGAUCAGCCACACUGGGACUGAGACACGGCCCAGACUCCUACGGGAGGCAGCAGUGGGGAAUAUUGGACAAUGGGGGCAACCCUGAUCCAGCCAUGCCGCGUGUGUGAAGAAGGCCUUUUGGUUGUAAAGCACUUUAAGCAGUGAAGAAGACCUAUUGGUUAAUACCCAAUAGCGAUGACAUUAACUGCAGAAUAAGCACCGGCUAACUCUGUGCCAGCAGCCGCGGUAAUACAGAGGGUGCAAGCGUUAAUCGGAAUUACUGGGCGUAAAGCGAGCGUAGGUGGUUAAAUAAGUCAGAUGUGGAAGCCCUGGGCUCAACCUAGGAACGGCAUCUGAAACUAUUUAACUAGAGUAGGUGAGAGGGAAGUAGAAUUUCAGGUGUAGCGGUGAAAUGCGUAGAGAUCUGAAGGAAUACCGAUGGCGAAGGCAGCUUCCUGGCAUCAUACUGACACUGAGCUCGAAAGCGUGGGUAGCAAACAGG